rnacentral:rRNA from 1 species
GGCGGGGUAAAGGCCCACCAAGGCGACGAUCCGUAGCUGGUCUGAGAGGAUGAUCAGCCACACUGGAACUGAGACACGGUCCAGACUCCUACGGGAGGCAGCAGUGGGGAAUAUUGGACAAUGGGCGCAAGCCUGAUCCAGCCAUACCGCGUGGGUGAAGAAGGCCUUCGGGUUGUAAAGCCCUUUUGUUGGGAAAGAAAAGCAGCGGGCUAAUACCCAGCUGUUCUGACGGUACCCAAAGAAUAAGCACCGGCUAACUUCGUGCCAGCAGCCGCGGUAAUACGAAGGGUGCAAGCGUUACUCGGAAUUACUGGGCGUAAAGCGUGCGUAGGUGGUUGUUUAAGUCUGUUGUGAAAGCCCUGGGCUCAACCUGGGAACUGCAGUGGAAACUGGAUGACUAGAGUGUGGUAGAGGGUAGCGGAAUUCCCGGUGUAGCAGUGAAAUGCGUAGAGAUCGGGAGGAACAUCCAUGGCGAAGGCAGCUACCUGGACCAACACUGACACUGAGGCACGAAAGCGU